AAAAUUAGAGUGUUCAAAGCAGGCAGACAUUAAUCUCUGCCACCGAAUACAUUAGCAUGGGAUAAUGGAAUAGGACCCUGUCCUCCUAUUUUCAGUUGGUUUUCGAGGACCAGGGUAAUGAUUAAUAGGGAUAGUUGGGGGCAUUAAUAUUUAAUUGUCAGAGGUGAAAUUCUUGGAUUUAUGAAAGAUUAACUUCUGCGAAAGCAUCUGCCAAGGAUGUUUUCAUUAAUCAAGAACGAAAGUUAGGGGAUCGAAGACGAUCAGAUACCGUCGUAGUCUUAACCAUAAACGAUGCCGACCAGCGAUUAGGAGACGUUGAAUACAAAACACCACCAUCAGGCGGGUCGUUCCUGGCCAGCUUCGCGCAAGCGGGGUUGGUGGGGGCGAUUCGUUUUCCUGAUGGCCCGGUGAA
rnacentral:rRNA from 1 species